rnacentral:rRNA from 1 species
GAUGAACGCUAGCGGCAGGCCUAACACAUGCAAGUCGAGGGGUAAGAUAGCAAUAUCUGAGACCGGCGCACGGGUGCGUAACGCGUAUGCAAUCUACCUUUUACAGGGGAAUAGCCCAGAGAAAUUUGGAUUAAUGCCCCAUGGUAUUAUAGGAUGGCAUCAUUUUAUAAUUAAAGUUCCAACGGUAAAGAUGAGCAUGCGUCCCAUUAGUUAGUUGGUAAGGUAACGGCUUACCAAGACGAUGAUGGGUAGGGGUCCUGAGAGGGAGAUCCCCCACACUGGUACUGAGACACGGACCAGACUCCUACGGGAGGCAGCAGUGAGGAAUAUUGGACAAUGGGCGCAAGCCUGAUCCAGCCAUGCCGCGU